ACUCAACCUAGGGAGCUUACCUGCAAAAGAAACAGUAAAAUAAUGACAAACACUAACCUCCCUGGACUAACAGAAACAGGAGAAAACAUUUACUAGUGAUGUUACCAGAAGUGCAGAGUCUUCAAAGCGCGUAUCGCGUAAUGUAGGCGGGGUUACCAUGAAGCAUGUGCAGAUGCUUGCUUCAUCUGGGGGAGGAGCCACAAUGAUGACGUCUGAAGCUUCACUGCCGGGUUCUAUCACAUUAUUGGUCAAGGAAGUGGUUCAAAUCUUUUACGGCUUUAUAAAUCCGCCAGGUCUCGAUCAAAAUGUGGGUUUUUGGAGGAGAGUUGCGAUUAGUUGAGGAUUUGGAUAGAGUUAGGAUAGCGUUGAUUUAACAUAUUUUGCAGAUAGAGUAGGUGUUUAGGGAAAGAUAGAUUUAUUUAAGAAAGUGAGGAUAUUUAUUGGAUAGGAUGGAGCCAUCAAGGAAGAGGAGGAUCUCCCCUGUAUGGGAACACUUUGAUCUGAUAUCUCCUAACAAGGUAAGCUUUAUCAAACAUUAUCUCAAAAUCAUUAGGUUUACUUAUCAACAACUAUUUGUCAUAGUUCCAUGUUUUUUUCAAAGGUGAGAUGUUUAGUGUGUUCCAAGGAAUUGGGAUACAAUAACAACACCUCAUCCAUGUUAAGGCAUUACCGUGCCUUUCAUGAGAAUAUGGACGAAGUAAGAGCUUCAUCUUCCCAAGCCACCAGAAAACACAAACUUGAUGAAGCCCUUGUUUCUAUGAUUGUGAAGGACACACAACCCUUUACUAUUAUGGAAGAUAUUGGAUUCAGGGGGUUUGUGUCCAAACCGAUCCCAAUUAUGUUCUCCCUACAAGGCAGGCUUUGAAGGCCAUGGUGGAGGUCAAAUAUGAGGCAGAAAAGGAGAAGACAAAGGCUAAAAUUCAAAAGGCAGCUGCUGUUAGCCUUACUUCAGAUAUGUGGACAUCCAUGAAUUUGGAUCCCUACCUGGCUAUAACUUGCCAUUUUGUUGGUGAGAGGUCCAAGCUCUGCUCAGUGUUGUUGGGAGUGCAAGAAUUCCCCCAGUCACACACCGCUGAAAAUAUUGCUGAAGAGAAAGCCUCAAUGAUGGCGGAAUGGGAACUCACCAAUAAAGUGACAUGUUUUGUCACAGAUGGUGCUCCCAACAUGGUUGCGUGUGUGAGAGAGCUAAAGCUUCGGCAUCACAUUUGCAUUUCCCAUACACUUAAUCUGGUGGUUAAGAAAACACUGGAGCAGAACCCUACUCUCUCUGGCAUCCGGGCCAAAGCAAGGAAGCUGGUUGGCUUCUUUAGAAGCAGCACUACUGCCAAGGAGAAGUUUGCACAAGUGCAUCUUCAUAUGGGCAUGCCUGUAAGAAAACUCUUGCAAAAAGUGGAGACCAGAUGGAACAGCACAUAUCUGAUGCUCCGACAUCUGGUUGAUCUCAGAGAGCCUGUUGGAGCAGCUUUAGCAGGACUACAACAUGACUUUCCCAUGAUCUCCUCAGAAGAAUUCACAAUGUUGAAGGUUGUAUAUCUUUGCUGUCCCCCUUUUAUGAGGCCACUGUAGAGCUGUCGGCAGAAGAAAACGUAUCUGCCUCCAAAGUCAUACCUCUUCUGAAAGUGCUGGAACAAAAUCUUCAGGAGGUAAUAACAAAACCGGGUCCUCCUGCAGCAUUGGAAAUGGGAGAAGUGCUCAUCAGGCAGUUACAGGAGAAGCUGUACACAUUACAGUCAAUGAGUAUAAUGUCACUUGUCACACUCCUGGAUCCUCAGUUCAAAAUUAUUGGAUUCUUCAGUCAAACAAAAGCCACUGAAGCUGUGAAGCGACUGACUGCAGAAUGUUCAACAAUUAUAAGGUCACAGCAAACCCGAAAGGACAUCCCCCAGGCAUCUACCUCUAAUGAAGUCACUGGAGGCAAAUUAUUACUUUUCAUUUCUUUGCAUUGAUAUGAGAUCAUCUAACAUGAUCUAUAAAUUAUUCUUAGGUAGCAAACUUUGGCAUAGUUUAGAUGCCAGCGUCAUGGAGGCAAGAACAUCACAAAAUGCAACUGCUUCUGCUACUGUGGGGGUACAGCGAUAUUUGUCCGAACCAAACAUCGGAAGACUUGAAAACCCUCUGGAGUACUGGGAGAGACAACAACUCAUCUAUCCAACCCUAUACAAACUUGCAAUUGCCUUUCUCUCCACACCCGUAUCUUCUGUUCCCUGUGAAAGAGUCUUUUCUAAAGCAGGAGAAGUUGUGUCUAAAAGAAGGAAUCGCUUGAAACCAAAAAAUGUCGAGAAACUCUUGUUUCUAAAUAAAAUUGAAUAACCCUCCCCAUCUUGAACAUCAUAUUUCCAGUUACAUAAGCACUGUAUGGCCUUUUAUAAGUUCCACAAGCACUCAAAUAUGUUGACAAAACAGAUUAGGAAUAUAGUAUACCUUAUUUUGGCUGUGGUUCAGUGUCCCACAAUGCUUCAUCUCACCAUCACUAACAUUUACUAAAGAAAAUUGCAGUUCACCCCUACAGCUUCACUUAACUUAACCAACACUAAACACUGAGUGGGACCUAAACUAAAUACCAAAGAAACCAUGUGCGCACAAAUCCAAACAGGUGGAGAAGAUCACUGAGCUGCAGUGGAGACAGGUUGCAGCCCAGCUCCCUUCUCAUGGUAUGGAGGUCCACAUGGUGCUUUUGAAGGCUCCCUCCUCCGGCCUGGACCAAUUGGGAGCCACACCUCCAGCACCACACCUGAAAGAAAUUGACACAAAAACACACAAAGAUCCACGAAACACAAAGAAGGCCCACUCUGACAAAAUCCACAGAACCAAAACGAAAAAACAAAACUAAAUACGACCACAGCCGUAACAAUCCAUCAACUACAUUCUGAUGUUUUCAAAGAUCAAAGUCAGAAAAUGUGUUUUGUUUAUGAAAUUUUAAAGGAUUUAUAGGUUCACUAUUUUGGUUUGAGAUCAAAAGGUGAAUUUCAGACGAAACUAACCAGAUUUUUUCCCAUGGAUUUUACAUCUGAAUUUAACAAAGAACAGACAAAUGUUGAUAUCCAAGUUCCACUCUGAUCAUUUUUUGAUUUAUUGUAAAAUCGUUCACAGUCUUUAAAGCAUUACGCCGUUUUGAGCCAAAAUAAGAAGAAAAACCUGUGUUGUUUCUAGAACAUAGUUCCUGAAAAACAACAGAUGUUCUUUAGAAGUUCACCUCUAAGUUGUAGGCGGGAUAAGCACAGAGUAACUCUGCCUCCAAUUCCCAUCAUUCAUCUGUUUACAGUUGGCUUUCCUGCUAGCAGCUUACAGCCCUAGUAAGAAUUACAGCUCACAUUCCCCCAUGACCUCAAUUUCCUCCAUUGUGGGAAAAAUAC